rnacentral:rRNA from 1 species
GCUGGUUUUCCAGGCAAAUCCGGAAAAUCAAGGCUGAGGCGUGAUGACGAGGCACUACGGUGCUGAAGCAACAAAUGCCCUGCUUCCAGGAAAAGCCUCUAAGCAUCAGGUAACAUCAAAUCGUACCCCAAACCGACACAGGUGGUCAGGUAGAGAAUACCAAGGCGCUUGAGAGAACUCGGGUGAAGGAACUAGGCAAAAUGGUGCCGUAACUUCGGGAGAAGGCACGCUGAUAUGUAGGUGAGGUCCCUCGCGGAUGGAGCUGAAAUCAGUCGAAGAUACCAGCUGGCUGCAACUGUUUAUUAAAAACACAGCACUGUGCAAACACGAAAGUGGACGUAUACGGUGUGACGCCUGCCCGGUGUCGGAAGGUUAAUUGAUGGGGUUAGCGCAAGCGAAGCUCUUGAUCGAAGCCCCGGUAAACGGCGGCCGUAACUAUAACGGUCCUAAGGUAGCGAAAUUCCUUGUCGGGUAAGUUCCGACCCGCACGAAUGGCGUAAUGAUGGCCAGGCUCUCCACCCGAGACUCAGUGAAAUUGAACUCGCUGUGAAGAUGCAGUGUACCCGCGGCAAGACGGAAAGACCCCGUGAACCUUUACUAUAGCUUGACACUGAACAUUGAGCCUUGAUGUGUAGGAUAGGUGGGAGGCUUUGAAGUGUGGACGCCAGUCUGCAUGGAGCCGACCUUGAAAUACCACCCUUUAAUGUUUGAUGUUCUAACGUUGACCCGUAAUCCGGGUUGCGGACAGUGUCUGGUGGGUAGUUUGACUGGGGCGGUCUCCUCCUAAAGAGUAACGGAGGAGCACGAAGGUUGGCUAAUCCUGGUCGGACAUCAGGAGGUUAGUGCAAUGGCAUAAGCCAGCUUGACUGCGAGCGUGACGGCGCGAGCAGGUGCGAAAGCAGGUCAUAGUGAUCCGGUGGUUCUGAAUGGAAGGGCCAUCGCUCAACGGAUAAAAGGUACUCCGGGGAUAACAGGCUGAUACCGCCCAAGAGUUCAUAUCGACGGCGGUGUUUGGCACCUCGAUGUCGGCUCAUCACAUCCUGGGGCUGAAGUAGGUCCCAAGGGUAUGGCUGUUCGCCAUUUAAAGUGGUACGCGAGCUGGGUUUAGAACGUCGUGAGACAGUUCGGUCCCUAUCUGCCGUGGGCGCUGGAGAACUGAGGGGGGCUGCUCCUAGUACGAGAGGACCGGAGUGGACGCAUCACUGGUGUUCGGGUUGUCAUGCCAAUGGCACUGCCCGGUAGCUAAAUGCGGAAGAGAUAAGUGCUGAAAGCAUCUAAGCACGAAACUUGCCCCGAGAUGAGUUCUCCCUGACUCCUUGAGAGUCCUGAAGGAACGUUGAAGACGACGACGUUGAUAGGCCGGGUGUGUAAGCGCAGCGAUGCGUUGAGCUAACCGGUACUAAUGAACCGUGAGGCUUAACCU